rnacentral:rRNA from 1 species
UUCCGGUUGAUCCUGCCGGAGGUCACUGCUAUUGGGAUUCGACUAAGCCAUGCGAGUCGCGAGGGUUCGGCCCUCGGCUGACGGCUCAGUAACACGCGGAUAAUCUGCCCUUAGGUGGAGGAUAACCUCGGGAAACUGAGAAUAAGACUCCAUAGAUCUAGGAGGCUGGAAUGCACUUAGAUCAAAAACUUCGGUGCCUAAGGAUGAGUCUGCGGACUAUCAGGUAGUAGUCAGGGUAAUGACCUGACCAGCCUACGACGGAUACGGGUUGUGAGAGCAAUAACCCGGAGAUGAUAUCUGAGACACGAUAUCAGGCCCUACGGGGCGCAGCAGGCGCGAAAACUUCACACCGUGCGAAAGCACGAUGCGGGAAUCCCAAGUGCUGACUCGUAAGAGUCAGCUGUCUUACUGUCUAGAAAACAGAGAGAGUAAGAGCUGGGUAAGACGGGUGCCAGCCGCCGCGGUAAUACCUGCAGCUCAAGUGGUGGCCGCUAUUAUUGGGCCUAAAACGUCCGUAGCCGGUCUAACAAAUGCCUAGGAUAAAUCGUAACGG